CGGCGAGUGAAGCGGCAACAGCUCAAAUUUGAAAUCUGGCCUUCGGGUCCGAGUUGUAAUUUGUAGAGGAUGCUUUUGGCGCGGUGCCUUCCGAGUUCCCUGGAACGGGACGCCUUAGAGGGUGAGAGCCCCGUACGGUUGGACACCAAGCCUCUGUAAAGCUCCUUCGACGAGUCGAGUAGUUUGGGAAUGCUGCUCUAAAUGGGAGGUAAAUUUCUUCUAAAGCUAAAUAUUGGCCAGAGACCGAUAGCGCACAAGUAGAGUGAUCGAAAGAUGAAAAGCACUUUGAAAAGAGGGUUAAAUAGCACGUGAAAUUGUUGAAAGGGAAGCGUUUGCGACCAGACCUUUUCCCGGUGGAUUCGUCCGCCGGGUUGAGGCCAGCAUCGGUUUCUGCAGGGGGAUAAAAAUAGGGGGAAUGUAGCUCCCUCGGGAGUGUUAUAGCCCCCUAUAUAAUACCCUUGCGGGGACCGAGGACCGCGCUUCGGCAAGGAUGCUGGCGUAAUGGUCGUCAACGACCCGUCUUGAAACACGGACCAAGGAGUCGAACAUUUGUGCGAGUGUUAGGGUGUUAAACCCUCACGCGUAAUGAAAGUGAACGGAGGUGAGAGCCCUUACGGGUGCAUCAUCGACCGAUCCUGAUGUCUUCGGAUGGAUUUGAGUAAGAGCAUA
rnacentral:rRNA from 1 species